CAAAAGACGACCAAAACAUUGGAAAACAAUAUUAAAAUUUUGACCCAGAAACAGACAAAAAGUUGCCUGAUCGACAGGAAGAGACAACACAAGGGUUAAAAGACAAGUACGAUCAUAAGACAUAACGCAGGUGUCUGAAAUGGGAUCAUCCUAGUGGCCCAGACACUAUCAAAUAAUACACAUUAUAGAUACUAUCAUAUUGUUUGGAUAAAAUAGGAAAUGUGUAUUAUAGAAUAUCAUUUACAACCUACAAAAAGAAGACACCCUAACCCUUCGUAAGUGGCCCCGAGACAUUGAUAGCCCGUCAGUCUAAGCAUUGGUUAACCCUCCUGUUGUCCUCGGGUCAAAUUUGACCCAUUUUUGGGUUUUCUUUAACCAAAUUGUCAAAAAAAAAUAACGUGGAUGGUUCCAUAUAAUGCUCUUCACAAUAAAAUAAAGGACCAGUUCACUACUUUCAUUGAAUUUGGGUGUUUAAUUCAGUUUUAUAGGAUUUGAAAAAACAUAGCGAAAAAAGAACAUUGAAAAAAGUGACAGAAAUGUCAGAAAAAGACGACCAUAAAGUUUGGAUUUAAAAUUUUGACCCAGAAAAACUAAAUGUUGCAAGGUGUGACGGGAAGACAACCCAAGGGUUAAAUAGAUGAAAUGGAAAUUAAACGUUUGUGUUUCUGGAGAUGACUCUGCUUUGUGACGCUGCCUCUUCUGUAGGUGCUAACGUGAAAACCCAAAACCAGGACUACUACUUCACCAGGACGGGAAACUAAACCCGCCAGAGAAACACGUUGAACUUCUUCUUGUCUGGCUGUAGUUUGAGUUUCCUGUCGUGAAACACGUGCUUCUUUCCUCAGUGAACGGCGCUUUACACUCUACCAAAACCACACGAAUACCGAUGAAGGUUUUCAGUCAUAUUCUCCUCCUCCUCUGACGCUCUGCUGUUUGUCCCGUGGUCUCUCCCGUCUCUCUGCUCGUACUGGUCGACUCGGUCCAGUUUGUUUUCUACGUCUGUGUUUCUUGUUUGGGUUGGAGCAGUUUGUUUUCAGUCCAAGUUAACUGUAGCAAGCUAGAGCUGGCUUCAAUGCAAAUUGUUGCUAGAACUACAAGAACGUUUGGAAUAGUUUUCCUGUGAACUGAUUUAUUGCAGAUAAUUGAUUUAACUGAACAGGAGUUUUUGGACGUGCAGCUAAAAGCUGCUGGACCGAGCGGACGCAGCGGCUUGCAUACGAGUGUAGCGCGGGGAUAGUGCGACGAGAAACCUUUCCUAAAGUGUUAAAUAGUCCUGAGAUGUUUGUAGAUGUUGAACCCCCUUCUCUCUCUGCUGUGCCUUGAGUCCUUUUUACAGAACAGUCAACAGUCCCGUCUGUAGAUCAGCAGAGCGUCUUUUAACUUUCUGCAUGAUGUUGUAAA